GAUCCCAUCGAUUAGUGGUUAGAUCAUCACGUUGUGGCUUGUCCGAACCGUGGGGACGCGUGUUCAAUUCACGCUGGGGUCA